GGUUUGUGAUAGUAGUGUAUAAAAGCAGUCAGACUAAAGGUUGAAGAGAUGCUCAAUGGAUUAAUGAAAAAGACCAAAUGCUCAAAUACAAUUUGAAAAACUGGCUUAUUUGGGCAGCAAUCUUGUGACUCUUGAAGACCCAGGAUUAGAGGGAAGAUUCCAUCCUCAAAUAGGAAAAUCCAGUGACAGUUGGACAUUGGAUGGUGAUGACUGAAAGGGGAAGAUGAAGACUAGAUCACACUCCCAACCCAGAUAGCUAUCUUCGUUAGCUUGAAAGCUAGUCUAAAUAAAUUAUUGUUCAUUGUUCAAAAUGGGAAGGAAAUAAACAUGAGAAAGAGCUCAAAGAGAUA